GAGGGUUGCUCUGACUCAGCCCGAUGACACCAACCGAAGGCAAUGACCCUGCUGUGAGGCAGAUGCGAGCCGGCUCCCCUAUGGGGAACCUCCCCGCUUUAGCGGGGAGAGGAGGUCAGUUAUCAUUUAAUU
rnacentral:sRNA from 1 species